UACAGGGGGGGCAAGCGUUGUUCGGAAUUACUGGGCGUAAAGGGCUCGUAGGUGGCCAACUAAGUCAGACGUGAAAUCCCUCAGCUUAACUGGGGAACUGCGUCUGAUACUGGAUGGCUUGAGUUUUGGGAGAGGGAUGCGGAAUUCCAGGUGUAGCGGUGAAAAUGCGUAGAUAUCUGGAGGAACACCGGUGGCGAAGGCGGCAUC
rnacentral:rRNA from 1 species